ACUGACACCACGCUUCCAGGAAAGGCCACUAAGCUUCAGCUAUAGAAAAACCGUAUCGUAAACCGACACUGGUAGGCAGGGUGAGAAUCCCAAGGCGCUUGAGAGAACUCGGGUGAAGGAACUAGGCAAAAUGGCACCGUAACUUCGGGAGAAGGUGCGUCCUUUUUGGUGGCUACAUGCGUAGCUGAGCUGAGAAGGGUCGCAGUAACCUGGCCGCUGCGACUGUUUAUCAAAAACACAGCACUCUGCAAACACGAAAGUGGACGUAUAGGGUGUGACGCCUGCCCGGUGCUGGAAGGUUAAUUGAUGGGGUCAGCCGCAAGGCGAAGCUCUUGAUCGAAGCCCCAGUAAACGGCGGCCGUAACGAUAACGGUCCUAAGGUAGCGAAAUUCCUUGUCGGGUAAGUUCCGACCUGCACGAAUGGCGUAACGACAGCGGCGCUGUCUCCACCCGAGACUCAGUGAAAUUGAAUUCGCUGUGAAGAUGCAGCGUUCCCGCGGCAAGACGGAAAGACCCCGUGAACCUUUACUAUAGCUUUACACUGAACGUUGAGUUCUUCUGUGUAGGAUAGGUGGGAGGCUUUGAAGCGCAGACGCCAGUUUGCGUGGAGCCAACCUUGAAAUACCACCCUGAAGUGCUUGACGUUCUAACCUAGGCCCGUAAUCCGGGUCAGGGACCGUGUAUGGUGGGUAGUUUGACUGGGGCGGUCUCCUCCCAAAGAGUAACGGAGGAGCACGAAGGUACGCUCAGCGCGGUCGGACAUCGCGCACUGUGUGCAAUGGCAUAAGCGUGCUUGACUGCGAGAUCGACGGAUCAAGCAGGUACGAAAGUAGGUCAUAGUGAUCCGGUGGUUCUGUAUGGAAGGGCCGUCGCUCAACGGAUAAAAGGUACUCCGGGGAUAACAGGCUGAUACCGCCCAAGAGUUCAUAUCGACGGCGGUGUUUGGCACCUCGAUGUCGGCUCAUCACAUCCUGGGGCUGUAGCCGGUCCCAAGGGUAUGGCUGUUCGCCAUUUAAAGUGGUACGCGAGCUGGGUUCAGAACGUCGUGAGACAGUUCGGUCCCUAUCUGUCGUGGGCGUUGGAGAUUUGAGGGGGGCUGCUCCUAGUACGAGAGGACCGGAGUGGACGUUCCGCUGGUGUUCGGGUUGUCAUGCCCAUGGCAUUGCCCGGUAGCUAUGAACGGAAGUGAUAACCGCUGAAAGCAUCUAAGCGGGAAGCACGCCCCAAGAUGAGAUCUCCCGAGAGCUUGACUCUCCUUAAGGCACCAUCAAGACCAGGUGGUUGAUAGGUCAGGUGUGGAAGUGCAGCAAUGCAUGGAGCUAACUGAUACUAAUGAGCCGUGAGGCUUGAUC
rnacentral:rRNA from 1 species